rnacentral:rRNA from 1 species
UGGGGAAUAUUGCACAAUGGGCGCAAGCCUGAUGCAGCGACGCCGCGUGAGGGAUGACGGCCUUCGGGUUGUAAACCUCUGUUAGCAGGGAAGAAGAGAGAUUGACGGUACCUGCAGAGAAAGCGCCGGCUAACUACGUGCCAGCAGCCGCGGUAAUACGUAGGGCGCGAGCGUUGUCCGGAAUUAUUGGGCGUAAAGAGCUUGUAGGCGGUUUGUCGCGUCUGCUGUGAAAGGCCGGGGCUUAACUCCGUGUAUUGCAGUGGGUACGGGCAGACUAGAGUGCAGUAGGGGAGACUGGAAUUCCUGGUGUAGCGGUGGAAUGCGCAGAUAUCAGGAGGAACACCGAUGACGAAGGCAGGUCUCUGGGCUGUAACUGACGCUGAGAAGCGAAAGCAUGGGGAGCGAACAGGAUUAGAUACCCUGGUAGUCCAUGCCGUAAACGUUGGGCACUAGGUGUGGGGGACAUUCCACGUUUUCCGCGCCGUAGCUAACGCAUUAAGUGCCCCGCCUGGGGAGUACGGCCGCAAGGCUA